GCGAGUGGCGAACGGGUGAGUAAUACAUCGGAACAUGUCCUGUAGUGGGGGAUAGCCCGGCGAAAGCCGGAUUAAUACCGCAUACGAUCUACGGAUGAAAGCGGGGGACCUUCGGGCCUCGCGCUAUAGGGUUGGCCGAUGGCUGAUUAGCUAGUUGGUGGGGUAAAGGCCUACCAAGGCGACGAUCAGUAGCUGGUCUGAGAGGACGACCAGCCACACUGGGACUGAGACACGGCCCAGACUCCUACGGGAGGCAGCAGUGGGGAAUUUUGGACAAUGGGCGAAAGCCUGAUCCAGCAAUGCCGCGUGUGUGAAGAAGGCCUUCGGGUUGUAAAGCACUUUUGUCCGGAAAGAAAUCCUUGGUUCUAAUAUAGCCGGGGGAUGACGGUACCGGAAGAAUAAGCACCGGCUAACUACGUGCCAGCAGCCGCGGUAAUACGUAGGGUGCGAGCGUUAAUCGGAAUUACUGGGCGUAAAGCGUGCGCAGGCGGUUUGCUAAGACCGAUGUGAAACCCCCGGGCUCAACCUGGGAACUGCAUUGGUGACUGGCAGGCUAGAGUAUGGCAGAGGGGGGUAGAAUUCCACGUGUAGCAGUGAAAUGCGUAGAGAUGUGGAGGAAUACCGAUGGCGAAGG
rnacentral:rRNA from 1 species